rnacentral:rRNA from 1 species
GAUGAACGCUGGCGGCGUGCUUAACACAUGCAAGUCGAACGAAGCACUUUAUUUGAUUUCCUUCGGGACUGAUUAUUUUGUGACUGAGUGGCGGACGGGUGAGUAACGCGUGGGUAACCUGCCUUGUACAGGGGGAUAACAGUUGGAAACGGCUGCUAAUACCGCAUAAGCGCACAGCAUCGCAUGAUGCAGUGUGGAAAACUCCGGUGGUAUAAGAUGGACCCGCGUUGGAUUAGCUAGUUGGUGAGGUAACGGCCCACCAAGGCGACGAUCCAUAGCCGAACUGAGAGGGUGACCGGCCACAUUGGGACUGAGACACGGCCCAAACUCCUAAGGGAGGCAGCAGUGGGGAAUAUUGCACAAUGGGCGAAAGCCUGAUGCAGCGACGCCGCGUGAGCGAAGAAGUAUUUCGGUAUGUAAAGCCCUAUCAGCAGGGAAGAUAAUGACGGUACCUGACUAAGAAGCACCGGCUAAAUACGUG